rnacentral:piRNA from 1 species
UGGGAUGUUGUAUGGGUCUUUAGGCU